rnacentral:lncRNA from 1 species
GUGUGUGUGUGUGUGUGUGUGUAUGUGUGUGUGUGUGUGUGUGUGUGUGUGUGUGUGUGUGUGUGUGUGCUUGUGUUACAGUAUGUAUAUGGAGGACAGAGGAGUUGAUUUCUUUCCUUCCAUCAUGUGAGGCUUGGCAGUGAGCAUUUUGACUUGCUGAGUCAUCUCACCAGCCUCCAAUAAGAUCUUAAUGGGAGUGGCUGUUUUAGCCCUUUCAGGCUAAUCAGUAUGCUAAGCUUGAGGUUAUUUUAUUGAAGUUCAUUCUUGGGGAGUGGAGGUGGGGAUCCUUAGUCUCCAUCAGAAGUAACAGUCUUGUAAAGGGCUAUCUAAAUUGUAAGGUCCCCCUCAUUUUUGUCAUCAAGUCUCUAGCCCUUACAGAGCCUCAGUAGUUGGCUACACAAGUUAACAAACAACUUCUUGAAAUGACAAUUGGCAAUGCAAAAUAUCAAAGUAUUGUCUGCCCUACUGUUGCCAUUUAAAUAAGUAAUGUCCCCAGAGGCUCAUGUGUUUGAACACAUAGUUUCAAGAUGAUGGCAUUGUUUGGGGAUGUUAUGGAACUUUUAGGACAUGGAGAUUUACUGGAGAAAGUAAAUCACAGGGGAUGGGCUUUCCUGUUCUCUCUCUCUCUCCUCCUGCCAUGCCUGCCAUUUGCUGUCACCCAUCCCUACCAUGGUGAACUUAUCUCUCAUGUGCGGCUUGGCAAUGAGCAUGCGCAUGAGCUUUAAUUCAAUGUAAACACUUCCUCCUCUAGUUUUCUUCUUUCUGAUCAUGGUAUCUUAUCACAACAGCAGAAAAGUAACUAUCCAAGCCUUUCCCCUCUUGCAUUUACUUUGAUUCUAUGUUCCCAUCACACAGAGAGGGGUCCUGAUAGAAAACCAUGGCGGGACCUGUGGGUAAAUGCAUUUGAUGCCAGUCUUGACUACCUGAGUUUGAUACAUGGCACACACAUAGUGAAAGAAGAUAACUAACUUCCAAAGGCUGUCCUCUGACCUACCUACCUACCUACCCACCUACCUACACCCACACACAAACUGACUAAAUAAGUGUAUAUAGUAAAAUCUUUAAAAGUGAUGAGCCAUGAAGCUUUACCACUUCUCUUACUUUCUGAUGCCAUUUCCCUCU